ensembl:misc_RNA Y_RNA Y RNA
GGCUGAUACAGAGAUAGUAAGUUAUCGUGAUUGUUCACUGUCAGUUACAGACCAAACUCCUUAUUCGACUUGUGCUCCACUUCCCACCACUGCACUUGACUAGUCUUAA